rnacentral:rRNA from 1 species
GGACGAACGCUGGCGGCGUGCCUAAAACAUGCAAGUCGAACGGUGUAGCAAUACACAGUGGCGAACGGCGGAGUAAUACAUAAGCAACGUGCCCGGAAGACUGGGAUAGUCAGGGGAAACCCUGGGUAAUACCAGAUGUGGCCGAUCUUUGGCAUCUUAGAUCGAUUAAAGGGUUUUUCGCUUCCGGAGCGGCUUAUGGCCUAUCAGGUAGUUGGUGAGGUAAUGGCUCACCAAGCCGACGACGGGUAGCGGGUCUGAGAGGAUGAUCCGCUCGAGUGGGGCUGAGACACGGCCCACACACCUACGGGUGGCAGCAGUUGGGAAUCUUGCACAAUGGGGGAAACCCUGAUGCAGCGACGCCGCGUGGAGGAUGAAGG